GAUGAACGCUAGCUACAGGCUUAACACAUGCAAGUCGAGGGGCAUCAGGAAGAAAGCUUACUUUCUUUGCUGGCGACCGGCGCACGGGUGAGUAACACGUAUCCAACCUGCCCUUUACUCGGGGAUAGCCUUUCGAAAGAAAGAUUAAUACCCGAUAGCAUAAUGAUUCCGCAUGGUUUCAUUAUUAAAGGAUUCCGGUAAAGGAUGGGGAUGCGUUCCAUUAGGUUGUUGGUGAGGUAACGGCCCACCAAGCCUUCGAUGGAUAGGGGUUCUGAGAGGAAGGUCCCCCACAUUGGAACUGAGACACGGUCCAAACUCCUACGGGAGGCAGCAGUGAGGAAUAUUGGUCAAUGGGCGCUAGCCUGAACCAGCCAAGUAGCGUGAAGGGUGAAGGCUCUAUGGGUCGUAAACUUCUUUUAUAUAAGAAUAAAGUGCAGUAUGUAUACUGUUUUGUAUGUAUUAUAUGAAUAAGGAUCGGCUAACUCCGUGCCAGCAGCCGCGGUAAUACGGAGGAUCCGAGCGUUAUCCGGAUUUAUUGGGUUUAAAGGGAGCGUAGGUGGACUGGUAAGUCAGUUGUGAAAGUUUGCGGCUCAACCGUAAAAUUGCAGUUGAUACUGUCAGUCUUGAGUACAGUAGAGGUGGGCGGAAUUCGUGGUGUAGCGGUGAAAUGCUUAGAUAUCACGAAGAACUCCGAUUGCGAAGGCAGCUCACUGGACUGCAACUGACACUGAUGCUCGAAAGUGUGGGUAUCAAACAGGAUUAGAUACCCUGGUAGUCCACACAGUAAACGAUGAAUACUCGCUGUUUGCGAUAUACAGUAAGCGGCCAAGCGAAAGCAUUAAGUAUUCCACCUGGGGAGUACGCCGGCAACGGUGAAACUCAAAGGAAUUGACGGGGGCCCGCACAAGCGGAGGAACAUGUGGUUUAAUUCGAUGAUACGCGAGGAACCUUACCCGGGCUUAAAUUGCAGUGGAAUGAUGUGGAAACAUGUCAGUGAGCAAUCACCGCUGUGAAGGUGCUGCAUGGUUGUCGUCAGCUCGUGCCGUGAGGUGUCGGCUUAAGUGCCAUAACGAGCGCAACCCUUAUCUUUAGUUACUAACAGGUUAUGCUGAGGACUCUAGAGAGACUGCCGUCGUAAGAUGUGAGGAAGGUGGGGAUGACGUCAAAUCAGCACGGCCCUUACGUCCGGGGCUACACACGUGUUACAAUGGGGGGUACAGAAGGCAGCUAGCGGGUGACCGUAUGCUAAUCCCAAAAGCCUCUCUCAGUUCGGAUCGAAGUCUGCAACCCGACUUCGUGAAGCUGGAUUCGCUAGUAAUCGCGCAUCAGCCACGGCGCGGUGAAUACGUUCCCGGGCCUUGUACACACCGCCCGUCAAGCCAUGGGAGCCGGGGGUACCUGAAGUACGUAACCGCAAGGAUCGUCCUAGGGUAAAACCGGUGACUGGGGCU
rnacentral:rRNA from 1 species